AGGGCAACUGGUGCUGUCUGGAAAAUGAAGGACACUGUCGGUGGGCCCAGGUGAUACAGAAGGCAGCACUACAGCUAACUGUUGAACAAAACGUAACAAGAUAAACCAAGAUGACUAAGUCUAAGUAUCUACCAGUUCAGAAGAAACGGGAGAAAUCUCUUUACCCAACACCCUCAAGGGGCAGGAGUCUUGGUUCCUCAGCAACAGCUGGACAGAGAACACGCACUAAGAGCCGAAGCCUGGAGUGUCCUUUGGGCAGGUCAUGUGCCAGAGCUCAACACCUUCCUCUCUGGCAUGAUCUCAUAAGCAAAGUUUCAGAUUUCAGACUAGAUGUCACUGCCUUCUAGCAUCAGCACUUUGUUUCUCUAUCGAAUGGCUCCCUCAUUUAGCUGCUCUUCUCAUUAAGACUUAUUAGCACAUCCAGACUGUUGGGAAACUGUUAAUAAAAAUUCUGUAGACUCCUGAGGGCAGACAUGUGUAUCAUCAUCUUCAUACCUAUAGCACCUAG